rnacentral:rRNA from 1 species
AUUGAACGCUGGCGGCAUGCUUUACACAUGCAAGUCGAACGGUAACAGGCCUUCGGGCGCUGACGAGUGGCGAACGGGUGGGUAAUGCAUCGGAACGUGCCCAGUCGUGGGGGAUAACUAUCCGAAAGGAUAGCUAAUACCGCAUACGAUCUGCGGAUGAAAGCGGGGGACCUUCGGGCCUCGCGCGAUUGGAGCGGCCGAUGUCAGAUUAGGUAGUUGGUGGGGUAAAGGCUCACCAAGCCAACGAUCUGUAGCUGGUCAGAGAGGACGACCAGCCACACUGGGACUGGGGCACGGCCCAGACUCCUACGGGAGGAAGCAGUGGGGAAUUUUGGACAAUGGGCGCAAGCCUGAUCCAGCAAUGCCGCGUGCAGGAAGAAGGCCUUCGGGUUGUAAACUGCUUUUGUACGGAACGAAACGGCUCUGGUUAAUACCCGGGGCUAAUGACGGUACCGUAAGAAUAAGCACCGGCUAACUACGUGCCAGCCGCCGCCGCGGUAA